rnacentral:rRNA from 1 species
CCUACGGGUGGCAGCAGUGGGGAAUAUUGCACAAUGGGGGGAACCCUGAUGCAGCGACGCCGCGUGGGUGAAGGAGUGCUUCGGCAUGUAAAGCCCUAUCGGCAGGGAAGAAGCAAGACGGUACCUGACUAAGAAGCCCCGGCUAACUACGUGCCAGCAGCCGCGGUAAUACGGAGGGGGCGAGCGUUAUCCGGAUUCACUGGGUGUAAAGGGAGCGUAGACGGCCAUGCAAGCCAGGGGUGAAAGCCCGGGGCCCAACCCCGGGACUGCCCUUGGAACUGGGCGGCUAGAGUGCGGGAGGGGCAGGCGGAAUUCCUGGUGUAGCGGUGAAAUGCGUAGAUAUCAGGAGGAACACCGGCGGCGAAGGCGGCCUGCUGGACUGCGACUGACGUUGAGGCUCGAAAGCGUGGGGAGCGAACAGGAUUAGAUACCCGAGUAGUC